rnacentral:rRNA from 1 species
AUUGAACGCUGGCGGCAGGCCUAACACAUGCAAGUCGAGCGGAUGAUGGGAGCUUGCUCCUUGAUUCAGCGGCGGACGGGUGAGUAAUGCCUAGGAAUCUGCCUGGUAGUGGGGGACAACGUUUCGAAAGGAACGCUAAUACCGCAUACGUCCUACGGGAGAAAGCAGGGGACCUUCGGGCCUUGCGCUAUCAGAUGAGCCUAGGUCGGAUUAGCUUGUUGGUGAGGUAAUGGCUCACCAAGGCGACGAUCCGUAACUGGUCUGAGAGGAUGAUCAGUCACGCUGGAACUGAGACACGGUCCAGACUCCUACGGGAGGCAGCAGUGGGGAAUAUUGGACAAUGGGCGAAAGCCUGAUCCAGCCAUGCCGCGUGUGUGAAGAAGGUCUUCGGAUUGUAAAGCACUUUAAGUUGGGAGGAAGGGUUGUAGAUUAAUACUCUGCAAUUUUGACGUUACCGACAGAAUAAGCACCGGCUAACUCUGUGCCAGCAGCCGCCGUAACAC